rnacentral:lncRNA from 1 species
CCAGGCUGGUCUUGAACUCCUGACCUCAGGUGAUCCACCCUCCUCGGCCUCCCAAGGUGCUGGGAUUACAGGCGUGAGCCACUGCGCCUGGCCUAUUCCCUAGGUUUCUACGCUCAGGUUGUUCUCUGAUUUUGUUCACUCUCUCUACUCACUCGGGAUUUAAAUAUGCUACUCUUUCUCUUGUGAUAUGAUUCAGUCCAGAUGGCAUCUUCAGAAACCUUUCUUGACACCCCAUCCCUACCACUCUUCUCCACCUAUUAAGUGCUCCUUUCCCAUAGAUAAUUCUAGAAUAUAUAUAUUAAAUUCUAGUGAAAUUUUCCGUUUACAUGUCAACGGCCUCCAACUAGAGAGUAAGCUUCUUUAAGUCAGACCUGUGUUUUACCUGUAUCUGCAAUGCCUAGGACUAUGUAGCAUUCAAUGAAUUCUUGUUUAUUUGCUCUGAACUGUGAGUCACUUUUGUAUUCUAGCACUUGAUUUAAAGCCAGCAUGUAGCUGGUGACCAAUAAAUUUAUUCACAUCAAACAUUUAUUAUGUGCUUGCUUUGCCUCAGACAUUGUACUUGAGAUACAAAAUAUUUUUGCCCUUGGGAAAGACAUAGUCUGGGAGGGGUGGUAUACAGGAGUAAGCAGACAGCACAAUGUGUCAGGUGUUGUGAUGGAGGGAUGUGCAGGUGUCUUUAACCUGAGGGGCUGUACUUGGGAGGGGAAGAUGAAGGGAGGGAGGCUCCAUAGAGGGGUGGUAGCCGAAUUGAGUCUUAAAGAAUGACUUGGAGUUCCCAGAGUGGGUUUGUCUGGUAGGAGGAAUUCUUAGCAGAAUGAAUACAAAUUGAGGGAGUUUAGAUUAGAUACAAAUACAAAUUU